CUACGGGAGGCUGCAGUGGGGAAUAUUGGACAAUGGGGGCAACCCUGAUCCAGCAAUGCCGCGUGUGUGAAGAAGGCCUGAGGGUUGUAAAGCACUUUUGUAGAGGAGGAUGGUGAGCAAGGUUAAGAGCUAUGUUCAUUGACGUUACUCUAAGAAUAAGCACCGGCUAACUCCGUGCCAGCAGCCGCGGUAAUACGGAGGGUGCAAGCGUUAAUCGGAAUUACUGGGCGUAAAGGGUGCGUAGGCGGCCUGGUAAGUUAGAAGUGAAAUUUUGGGGCUCAACCCCAGAGCUGCUUCUAAAACUGCUGGGCUAGAGUGCAGGAGAGGAAAGCGGAACUCCACGUGUAGCGGUGACAUGCGUAGAGAUGUGGAGGAACACCAGUAGCGAAGGCGGCUUUCUGGACUGUAACUGACGCUGAGGCACGAAAGCGUGGGGAGCAAACAGGAUUAGAUACCCUAGUAGUC
rnacentral:rRNA from 1 species